UGAGAUGUGGUGUAAUGGCAGCACAAGGGAUUUUGGUUCCCUUAGUCAGCGUUCGAAUCGCUGCAUCUCAA
rnacentral:tRNA from 1 species